AUGUCUAGUCUCAGCGGGCAGUGCCCUCCCCAGGCCCGCCUAGGGAUGACCCCCUGCCGGGAUGGGGCUUCCGAAGCUGGGAGGGCCCCUGGAGCCCCCGUGGUUAUUUUUCUCUCAGAAUCGAGUCCACAGCCUGGAUCUCUGCGCCCUCCUCCACCCAGCCUGGACAGCUGCCCCCUCAGCCCAGCGAGGGUCUGGCAGAAGCAGAGGCUGACCACUGGCAUCCCGGGCAGGGGUCACCCAUGCCCCCCACAGGUACAUGCCCAAACUCCAGGCCGCCUUCCUGGCCUCACCACCCGCCACCCCCGACCCCUGCCGCCUGCCUGUUCUCUCAGGGCAGGGGGCAAUUACCUCUCUGGAGUUCAGUUUUUUGACCCUUCUUGUCCUCUGACUGAGCAAGGAGGGCUCAGGGAGGCAGGCAUGGUCCCCGUGGACUCCUUGGCCAGGUCCAGCCCCUGCCCAUCGUCCUGGACUCCAGGGUGUGAGGCUUCUGGCUGGUCCCUGGGGCUGAGCAUGUGCCCUGCAGGCGGGGGGGCUGCCUUCCCCAGGCCCCUGGCCUGUCUGUGGGCUGCCACCCAGGACUCCCUCCACCCCCCAUCCCCCUACUCACCCAGCCAGGCACCCAUUUCAGAAGCAUUUGCAGGCAGCAGAUGUGUCAGUGGGCACAGGGAAGCCAGGGUCACCCAGUUAGCAGGGUCCUAAAUAGGACAAGGAAGGGGCUCCCGUUGUGUGCCAGCCCUCCCCCCUAACCAUGGCCGCCUGGCCCUUCACCUGCACGAGGGCCCAGGAGAGCCGUCUUCUGGGGAGGCAGUCGGUGAGGGCUAUCAGGGCAGCUGGGAGUGACCUUCUCCCUUGGGACGUGUUGGGCCCAUCUCACCAUCUGCCCAGAGCCUCAGUUUCCCCCUCUGUGAGCCCAGGAACACUUAUGGUCCCUUCCAGAAAGUUCUGAGGAUAGCUAUUCGGAAGCCUGGCUAGCGGUGCUUCUGUGUCUCUUGUGAGAAGCAGAUGAAGCCACUUGAACCAUUGCUCGGGUCCACGGAAUGCAGACUCCCAUGACGAAGUCUCCUCUCAUCCCAAGUCUGGUUCUAGAAAAAAGGCUGUCUUCUUAAGCAUGAAUCUCUCGUACAAAAUAGGUUCAUCCCUCUUUUCCCUGUAGCUGCCAGGAGGCUCCCGGCCGAUUUCUGUGUACCUGCAGCGAAGGGCUGGUGCUGAGUCUCUGGCCGGGCGGCUCCUCCUGCUGCCGUUUGUGUUUCUCCAUAAACGUUGACUUUAUAGUGAGUUUCACUUGGAGGCUGCUGUGUGUGUCUUUGUGAGUGGAGAGUACAUAUCUCACUCAAAACUCAGCUUUUCUUCUGCGUUCAGUUAAAACCCUUCUUGUGCCCCUGGGACGACCGAGUCCCCUUUCCAUUUUGAUCUGAAGCCCCUCGGAAGGUGGGGUGUCACCUGUCACCACCCCGAGACCUGGAAAACCCUCUGGAGGGCCCACGUCAGCCUCAUCUCNNNNNNNNNNNNNNNNNNNNNNNNNNNNNNNNNNNNNNNNNNNNNNNNNNNNNNNNNNNNNNNNNNNNNNNNNNNNNNNNNNNNNNNNNNNNNNNNNNNCUGGAGGGCCCACGUCAGCCUCAUCUCAGGGACGGAACUGACAGGCUCCCCCUCCCUCCUGCUCCCCUAGGCAAGGGGCCAGCGAGUCUUGGGUCCGAACCUCACCCAAGUCCUGGGGGAUCUGUGCGGACUGCGACCCCCAGCCCCACCUCCCAACCGGAAGUACAGGCCCUGAGACCAGAAAUGGCAGCUGUGACGAUGCUGCCCCCGCACCCUAUGAUGACACCCGAGGUCCCUGCUGGUGAGAUGCCUCCUGCCCUGUAGAGACAGCUUCCCUGUGGAGGAACUGAGCCCCUGAGAGCUUGGCUGCUUUGCUCCAGGUCACACGGCUUGAGCUCAGGGGCUUGGGAGGAUCAAGCCUAGGACCCAAGUCUCCUGAGACCGCUCCCUGCUUUUCUGUAAUCCCACAAAGGGCAGGAAGGGAGGGCACAGCGGAUGUCAGGAGGGAGGCUGGGGGGUGGUAGGAGGUGACAGAGGAGAGAGGACAGGGCUGGGGAGGGGGCGAUGGCCGGUCAGCUGGCUGCGGUGGCGCCCACAGGAUGGAGCACCACCCCAGGGCCCUUCCCACCCGUGCGGUGCAGCCCAGGCCAGGUGCCCUGCGAGGUCCUGGGCUGUGUGGAGCUGGAGCAGCUGUGUGAUGGGAGAGAGGACUGUCUGGAUGGCUCUGAUGAGAGGCCGUGCGGUGAGCACCCUGGAGAGUCUGGUGCCAUGUGGGUGGUAACGGCAAGAUGGCUGUAGGUUUGGGGAGGUGCCUGCCUCCGUUUCUAGCAUAUAUGAGAAGGUCCUGGGAAAGUCUAGUGG
ensembl:lncRNA